UGAGAUAUAGCUAAGCAGCACAGCACCUGCCUGGCAAGCAUGAGGCUCUGAGUUCAAUUCUCAAUUCCCAA
rnacentral:tRNA from 1 species